GGACGCGUAGCGCAGAUGGUUAGCGCACCUCGUUGACAUCGAGGGGGUCGGAGGUUCGAGUCCUCUCGCGUCCACC
rnacentral:tRNA from 1 species